rnacentral:rRNA from 1 species
GUUUGAUCCUGGCUCAGAACGAACGCUGGCGGCGUGCCUAAUACAUGCAAGUCGAACGAGAAUUUGGGGCAACCCAUUAGUAAAGUGGCAGACGGGUGAGUAAUACGUAGGUAAUUUACCCUUGAGAUGGGAAUAACCUUCCGAAAGGAGGGCUAAUACCGAAUGAGACCACGGCUUCUUUGGAAGCUGAGGUUAAAGGUGACCUCUAUUUAUAAGUUAUCGCUCAGGGAUAAGCUUACGCACCAUCAGCUAGUUGGUAGGGUAACGGCCUACCAAGGCUUUGACGGUUAGCUGAUCUGAGAGGUUGAUCAGCCACACUGGAACUGAGACACGGUCCAGACUCCUACGGGAGGCAGCAGUAGGGAAUAUUGCGCAAUGGAGGAAACUCUGACGCAGCGACGCCGCGUGGGUGAUGAAGGCCUUCGGGUCGUAAAGCCCUGUCGAAAGGGAAGAAACACGAUUUGGCUAAUAUCCAAGUCGCUUGACGGUACCUUUAAAGGAAGCACCGGCUAACUACGUGCCAGCAGCCGCGGUAAUACGUAGGGUGCUAGCGUUGUUCGGAAUCAUUGGGCGUAAAGCGCGUGUAGGUGGUCAGUAAAGUUGGGUGUGAAAUCCCUCGGCUCAACCGAGGAAGUGCACUCAAAACUCACUGGCUUGAGAGUGGUAGAGGAAGGUGGAAUUCCAAGUGUAGAGGUGAAAUUCGUAGAUAUUUGGAGGAAUACCGGAGGCGAAGGCGGCCUUCUGGACCAUUUCUGACACUGAGACGCGAAAGCGUGGGUAGCAAACAGGAUUAGAUACCCUGGUAGUCCACGCCGUAAACGAUGGGUACUAGAUGUUGCGGGAAUUGACCCCUGCAGUGUCGCAGCUAACGCAUUAAGUACCCCGCCUGGGAAGUACGGUCGCAAGAUUAAAACUCAAAGGAAUUGACG